rnacentral:rRNA from 1 species
CAGAGGGUGCGAACGUUGCUCGGAAUUACUGGGCGUAAAGCGCGUGUAGGCGGGUGAUCAAGUCGGGCGUGAAAGCCCUGGGCUCAACCCAGGAACUGCACUCGAAACUGGUUGCCUUGAGUGUUGGAGAGGGAAGCGGAAUUCCUGGUGUAGAGGUGAAAUUCGUAGAUAUCAGGAGGAACACCGGUGGCGAAGGCGGCUUCCUGGACAAUUACUGACGCUGAGACGCGAAAGCGUGGGGAGCAAACAGGAUUAGAUACCCUGGUAGUCCACGCCGUAAACGAUGAGUGCUAGGUGUCUCGGGCAUUGACCCCUGAGGUGCCGUAGCUAACGCGUUAAGCACUCCGCCUGGGAACUACGGCCGCAAGGCUA